rnacentral:rRNA from 1 species
GACAGAGGAUGCAAGCGUUAUCCGGAUUCACUGGGUUUAAAGGGUGCGUAGGAGGGCAGGUAAGUCAGUGGUGAAAUCUUUGGGCUUAACCCGAAAACUGCCAUUGAUACUAUCUGUCUUGAAUAUGGUGGAGGUGAGCGGAAUAUGUCAUGUAGCGGUGAAAUGCUUAGAUAUGACAUAGAACACCGAUUGCGAAGGCAGCUCGCUACACCUAUAUUGACUCUGAGGCACGAAAGCGUGGGGAUCAAACAGG